AUGAAUUAGGAGGCGGACGCCGGUGCGGGGCUCCAGGCUGGCUGGGGUACCCCUCCCCCGCACCUUCUACGACCUCCCGGGGGUUUGCACCUGUCCGGGCACCAAGUGCCGGUGCAGCUGACGACAGCCCUGCGUGUGGUGGGCACCAGCCUGUUUGCCCUGGCAGUGCUGGGUGGCAUCCUGGCAGCCUAUGUGACGGGCUACCAGUUCAUCCACACGGAA
rnacentral:lncRNA from 1 species